ACUUUCUUAGUAUAUUUAGUACAGUUGACUUCCAAUCAACUAGGUCCAACUAUAAUUUGGAAGAAAGUA
ensembl:Mt_tRNA